AUGUGCAGGGCAUCUGGGGGGCAGGCAGCGAGGAGCAGGGCAGGGCCGCUCCCCGCCUGGAAGGGGGGUCGUGGACGCGGGUGGGGUGGGCGUGCGGGCCGCCUGCGCCGUCUGCCCCGUGGUGGGGGGCUCCUCGGCGGGGUGUGGGGAGGGGACGGGGUGCGAAGCCCCCGUCCCCUCCCCACCCCCCCGCUUGGCCCUGCCUGCAAGGAGAAGUCGGGAGGACACCCAGCCACUCGCCGCCCUGCCCGCCGCCCGGAGGGAGGCCUGUGCGGCGCUCAGGGCUUCCAAGGCGCCUCGCUGUGCCCUGCGAGGGGACAGGGGACAGGGGACAGGGGACAGGGCUCUCGGGCGGCGGGGACGCGGGGAGCCCGCAGGCCGGAAACAAGACCACGGCUCCUUUCUUUUCAGAGACUCGAUUUCUUGGAACGCACACCCUUCGGGUUUGCUAUUUUUACCCGCCCCAGCCUUCCGGUCUCCAUGGCGACGCCUCCAAACAGCAGAUUCCAGGCGGCAAUGACGUCACCUUUCCCCUUCCUGCCGCCCAGGCCUCCGGGCGCUGCCGGGCCGACCCCGUCGCGCGCCCCCCUGCGCCCCGGCCGGGCCCCCACCCCCCUCCCCUCCCCCGGCCGUGGGGUCCCCCGCGCCCCCGCGCCCCUGCCCGCCCGCCGGCGGGGCCUUGGGGGGCCGCGCCGCCCGUCCCCGCGGGGCGGCUGUGCUGGAGCCCCCGUGGCAGAGGGCACGGGCCCAGGGCGGCCCUCCCUCCCGCUCCGGGAUCCCUGCCAUGCGGGCCGCCCUGUGGGAGCUGCGCGGGCCCUCGCGGCCGGGGAGGCAGGGGCAGGCCGGCGCCAGGCCUCGCUGGCCGCGGGGGUAGCAGCCCGUCUGGCCUGGGAAGCCCCUGCCGCUCCCUCGUCGGAAACCGGUGACCUACGGCAGAGGGGCUCCGAGGUGGCGGGAGAGCCGCAGGGGCCCGUGGCCUGGUCGUUUGAGCCCCUGCCGCUGUGCCCCUGGGCGUCCGAACCCCCUCCCGCAUGGUGGCAGUCCUGUCCGGGCCUGUCGUGGGCCAUGCGCUGCACACCUGGGUCCUGA
rnacentral:lncRNA from 1 species